rnacentral:lncRNA from 1 species
ACACUUAUAGAGAAUAUUGACCCUAACAGCCAAGGAUAUAUCAAAAUCUCAUAUUAUUGGUGUUGUGAUUAAAGAGCACGAGUGAAGAACAUAUUUUAUUAUGCGGCUAGGGUUACAAACUUACAGAUUACAGAUCUCAAGUAUAUAUAGUACUGAGAUAAAACACUCAAAUUGGGCCUAAAGCCCAAAACUACAUACCGUUGGGCCGAAGCGAGAAAUUCAAGACAUAUCAACAGGUAUGUUACUAUGCCAACUUCUUUCGGCUGCCAAGUUUUGCAACAAAUACUUAUAGGUAUUACUUAAGAGUGAAGAUGACUAAAGCUUAACAUAAUACUGUUCGAAUUUCAUAUAUUUUUCAAAAAUCAGAAAGUUAAUACUCCCUCCGUCCCACGAAUCUUGACACAUUUGGUUUCGGCACAGGUAGGGCUGUAAACGAGCCGAGCCGAGCCGAAUACAAGCAGGCUCGAGCUCGGCUCGUUUAAAUAUUUGGGUGUUCGAGCUCGGCUCGAGCUCGAUUCGAGCUUUUAUCUUGAUGAUCGAGCUCGGCUCGUCACCCACUUACUAAGCUCGAGCUCGGUUCGAGUUCGGCUCGGGUGAUACUUGAUAAUGUUGAAUUCGAACUUGAGCUCGAGUUCGACUCAUUAGAUGUUCGUAUAUAUGAUGUUCAAGCUCGGAUUUGUUAUAAAUUUAAGAAAAUCUUCUUAAUUAAUAUGUUAUUCGAGUUCGAGUUCGACUCGUUUAAGGCUCGUGUACUAACUCGAUUGAAGGCUCGACUGAAGGUUCGUGAACAGGCUCGCGAACAUGUUCGUGAACAAUCGAAUUCGAAUAUGUUCGCGAGCUCAACGAGUCGAGCACUGCCAGGCUCGAGCUCGGCUCGAUAAAAAUUUCGAGCUCGAAAUCAGGCUCGAGCUCGGCUCGUUUAUUAUCGAAUCGAGCUCCAAACGAGCUUUUUUCGAACCGAAUCUCGAAUAGCUCGCGAGUAGCUCUGUUCAUUUACAACCCUAGGCACGAGAAUUAAGGAGUUGUAGAUUAAUGUUUUAAGAGCAUCCGCAGCGCUGGUGUCGAAGGAGGCGUCGAUCCGGGUCGCCAAGGUGGUAGUCGCGCUGGAGAUGCGGCGUGGUUCGAAGCAAUGGCGAAGCUAAGACUCGGGGCGAAGGGCGAUUUUGUGGGGAGCGUGUAUAUCACGCUCUGAAAUUAAAAAAAAGAGAGAGAGAGAGAGAGUUGCAGGAGGAAAGAAGAAGAAGAGAAAAGGAGGCGGUGGGAGACAGUUGCAGGCGGUGGGAGACAGUUGCGAUUUUGAGUUUGAUUCAAUUUUUUUAUUUUGAUUUUUUAUUUUUUAAAAUUUUAAAAUUCUAAUUUUUUUUUAUCAUAAUUUUUAUUUUUUUAUUGCAUUUUAAUUAUGUCUUUAAUUUUAUUUUAAUUAUUGUGAUGUUGAAUUUUAAAAAUAAAAAUGUAGAAAUGUGAAUUUUGUGGAAAUGAAGAUCUAAGACCCCCUCUAAGACACAAUGCAUUGGAGAGGGGUGUGUCUUAGGUGGGCCUAAGACACCCCUCUAAGACACAAGCAUUGGAGUUGCUUUAUGUGUGUAUGUAAUAAAGUAUAAAAAUGAUAAAUUAGGAGAGAGAAUGUGAUAAAGUAGGAGAGAGAAGGUAAUAAAGUGAUAAAGUAGAAGAGAGAAGAUAAUAAUUGUUACUCCCUCCGUCCCAUUAAAGUUGGCCACAUUCGUUUCGGCACGGAGAUUAAGAAAUUGAGUGUUAUAUGUUUUAAUAGAGUGUGGCCUACAAUUGUUGACCAAAUUAGUGAGUAAUUGUUGACUUAAUUAAAGUAAUUUUGGCACUUUUAGAAAGUGGCCUACAAUUGUUGACCAAAUUAAUGAGUAAUUGUUGACUUAAUUAAAGUGAACUUUUGCCAUUUUUAGAAAGUGGCCAACUUUAGUGCGACACCCAAAAUAGAAAUGUGGCCAACUUUAAUGGGACGGAUGGAGUACUAUAUUUAGAAACUGUCAAGAUUCGUGGGAUGCCCAAAAAGGAAUACGUGUCAAAUUCUGGACGGAGGGAGUACUAAAAGUCAAAUAUUAUUAUUAAUGUACCAUCUUAUUUGUAACUAUAUAUAAAUUUAUGGUGUAGCCGUUGAGCAGGAAUUCACAUUCUAUUCACGAGUUUAUCUUUUACUUCUUCAACAAUUAUAACCAUUUUGUGCAGGAAUUCAAAAUUGACAAAUUCAAGAAUAUAUAUUGAUGAGGAGUAAAUUAUGCAUGGAAGAUUCCAGCGUUGACCUUGGAGCGGAAAGGAUAAGUCAAUCCGAGGGUUCCGCGAGAAGACCAUAAAGUGAGGCUUGUGAAAACGUGACCAUGAUAAUUCUACGCUAGCAUGAGUACAGCGCUGCGAGAUGGGAUGGGCUGAAACCAAAUUGGGUUGUAGAGUAAUGUCGAUUGUGAGGACGAAGAGCGUAAGGGCAGGGCUGUAUCCGAGCAUAUUAUAUAUUAUAUAUAAUUCAUUCGGAAUUUACUACUAUUAAUUUUCAUGCAGUUCUACUUGAUCCUAUGGAUUUUGACUGCUGGCUGCGUCAUGGGGAGAGAUAUAUCUGGCGUGAUAAUUCAGAUCAUGGGCUUUGUAGCCGCCACUGGGGUAAUCAUGGCUCACUGGGGAAUGCAGUAUAAAGGAGUACCGUCCCCACUUUAUCUGGCGGGACGAGCUCAACCUCCACCUCGGUGCCCACUUCCUUCAGUGGAACAAGCUCAGUCCCAGGCCCACCCAUAACCUCUGGUGCAGGGCGGACCACCUCAGCUUUUCGUGCAUAGCUGGAUGAUGACAUUGUGCCUACAGUGGGACAGAGUGAGACAACGUUAUACCAUACACGACUUAUGGCCGAAGAUUUCGAAGUCGAUGAAACAACAGAUCCGGCAGAAUGGAUUGCGCACAUAUAACACGCAUCACCUCACUAGCCAACUACGUCAAGAUAUGCACACUUUUUGGCCGAAUUUGAUGCCAUGUCCGAAUAGUGUGAGCAGCGUUAAGCACGACGAGAUGUUUUGGCAGCACCAGUGGAACAAACACGGCGCCUACUCUGGAUACACCCCCGAGGCCUAUUUUGGUUUAGCUAUCAGGCACUAUACGGCAUUGGGGUUAAAUCAGCAUGCCUGUAGUUUUAGAUCUGGUUCAUAUAGAGAUGUACGUACUGUACAGAGGACAGUGCAACAGUGGACAGUCAACAUGCAGGUUGCCAUUACGACCAAGAUUGAUCAGAUAUCUCCUUUCUAUCCUUACUGCAUGCAUGAGAUCCGGAUUCCAGUUUCAUCACUUCAUAUUUGUACUCCCGAAAAACUAGCGUAUAAGAAAAGAAGGUUUUAUUGAAGAACAUUGGAGUGUUUGUCUGCCUUUGCACUUCAGGUUUCGAUCUUCUAUUUAUUCUUUAGUUUUAGGAUGUUGGUGAGUUGAUGCUUCACCAUAUAUGUUGUUGGAUCAAUUUUACGGGGACGUUGGUCCUCGCCAUAUAAUGUUUUCUGUCCAAUGGCCUAUGUCGGUUGAAGCGGCGGAUAUAUUCCCUCAAAAAUCCUCGAUGAUAGGGAAAUGACCAGGCUCUUGAUCUCCAUAAUCCAAAACUAUUUCUCCCGAUGAAUUUGUCAACCUUUACGUUGAAAGCAGACAUUCUUGAUUGACUCUAAAAAACCCCUAAGAGCGCUAAAAAAGAUACUCUGAUCGAAACGACCAGGCUCUUGAUACUAGUUUGUUAUGACAUAAUAGAAUUAAAGAGCACAAUCAAACAGAAAACGUAAACAAUACAAAGAUUUACGUGGUUCACCAAUUUGGCUACAUCCACGGGCAAAGAGGAGAACAUAUUUUAUUAUGCGGCCAAAUUGGGCCUAAAGCCCAAAACUGCAUACCGUUUGGCCGAAGCGGGAAAUUGAAGACAUAUAAACAGGUGCGUUACUAUGCCAACUUCUUUCGGCUGCCAAGUUAUGCAAUAAAUACUAUUAGGUAUUACUUAAGAGUGAAGAUGACUAAAGCUUGAAUAGCAUAAUAUUGUUCGAAUUUCAAAAAUCAGAAAGUUAAUACUAAAAGUCAAAUAAUAUUAUUAGUGUACCAUCUUAUUUGUAAAUAUAUAUGAAUUUAUAGUGUAUCCGUGGUAAAAGAAUUCUCAUUCUAUUCACGAGUUUAUCUUUUACUUUUUCAAUAAUUAUAACCAUGUUGUGCAGGAAUUCAAAAUUGACAAAUUCAAGGACAUGUUGUUGGAUCAAUUUUACGGGGACGUUGGUCCUCGCCGCAUAAUGUUUUCCGUCCAAUGGCCUAUGUAUGUUGAAGUGGCACAUAUAUCUAGCAUGGAGGAGGAGAAGAGAGAGAUGUUCUAUAUGCACGGCCCAUGGCCGAUGCUUCCCUAAAAAAUCCUCGACGGUAGUGAAAUGACCAGGCUCUUGAUCUGCCAUAAUCCAAAACUCCCGGUGAAUUUGUCAACAUGUACGUUGAAAGCAGACAUUCUUGAUCGACUCCAAAAAAUCCUAACAACGAAGAAAAAAANUACCCUGAUCGAAAUGACCAGGCUCUUGAUACCAAUUUGUUAUGACAUAAUAGAAUUAAAGAGCACAAUCAAACAGAAAACGUAAACAAUACAAAGAUUUACAUGGUUCACCAAUAUGUUUACAUCCACGGGCAGAGAGGAGAACAUAUUUUAUUAUGCGGCCAAAUUGGGCCUAAAGCCCAAAACUGCAUACCAUUGGGCCGAAGCGGGAAAUUCAAGACAUAUCAACAUGUGCGUUACUAUGCCAGCUUCUUUCUGCUGCCAAAUUUUGCAACAAAUACUAGUAGGUAUUACUUAAGAGUGAAGAUGACUAAAGCUUGAAUAGCAUAAUACUGUUCGAAUUUCAGAUAUUUUUCAAAAAUAAGAAAGUUAAUACUAAAAGUCAAAUAUUAUUAUUAGUGUACCAUCUUAUUUGUAACUAUAUAUGAAUUUAUAGUGUACCCGUUGUGCAGGAAUUCACAUUCUAUUCACGGGUUUAUCUUUUACUUCUUCAAUAAUUAUAACCUUGUUGUGCAGGAAUUCAAAAAUUGACAAAUUCAAGGACACGUUGUUGGAUCAAUUUUACGGGGAC